AGUGAACGCUGGCGGUAGGCCUAACACAUGCAAGUCGAACGGCAGCACAGUAAGAGCUUGCUCUUACGGGUGGCGAGUGGCGGACGGGUGAGGAAUACAUCGGAAUCUACUUUUUCGUGGGGGAUAACGUAGGGAAACUUACGCUAAUACCGCAUACGACCUACGGGUGAAAGCAGGGGAUCUUCGGACCUUGCGCGAUUGAAUGAGCCGAUGUCGGAUUAGCUAGUUGGCGGGGUAAAGGCCCACCAAGGCGACGAUCCGUAGCUGGUCUGAGAGGAUGAUCGGCCAAACUGGAACUGAGACACGGUCCAGACUCCUACGGGAGGCAGCAGUGGGAAAUAUUGGACAAUGGGCGCAGGCCUGAUCCAGCCAGACCGCGUGGGUGAAGAAGGCUUUUGGGUUGUAAAGCCCUUUUGUUGGGAAGAAAAGCAGCAGGUUAAUACCCCGCCGUUCUGACGGUACCCAAAGAAUAAGCACCGGCUAACUUCGUG
rnacentral:rRNA from 1 species